UUUUUUUUUUUUAAAUUUUUCCCCGCAGACGAACGCUGGCGGCGUGCCUAAUACAUGCAAGUCGUACGCUUCUUUUUUCCACCGGAGCUUGCUCCACCGGAAAAAGAAGAGUGGCGAACGGGUGAGUAACACGUGGGUAACCUGCCCAUCAGAAGGGGAUAACACUUGGAAACAGGUGCUAAUACCGUAUAACAAUCGAAACCGCAUGGUUUUGAUUUGAAAGGCGCUUUCGGGUGUCGCUGAUGGAUGGACCCGCGGUGCAUUAGCUAGUUGGUGAGGUAACGGCUCACCAAGGCCACGAUGCAUAGCCGACCUGAGAGGGUGAUCGGCCACAUUGGGACUGAGACACGGCCCAAACUCCUACGGGAGGCAGCAGUAGGGAAUCUUCGGCAAUGGACGAAAGUCUGACCGAGCAACGCCGCGUGAGUGAAGAAGGUUUUCGGAUCGUAAAACUCUGUUGUUAGAGAAGAACAAGGAUGAGAGUAACUGUUCAUCCCUUGACGGUAUCUAACCAGAAAGCCACGGCUAACUACGUGCCAGCAGCCGCGGUAAUACGUAGGUGGCAAGCGUUGUCCGGAUUUAUUGGGCGUAAAGCGAGCGCAGGCGGUUUCUUAAGUCUGAUGUGAAAGCCCCCGGCUCAACCGGGGAGGGUCAUUGGAAACUGGGAGACUUGAGUGCAGAAGAGGAGAGUGGAAUUCCAUGUGUAGCGGUGAAAUGCGUAGAUAUAUGGAGGAACACCAGUGGCGAAGGCGGCUCUCUGGUCUGUAACUGACGCUGAGGCUCGAAAGCGUGGGGAGCAAACAGGAUUAGAUACCCUGGUAGUCCACGCCGUAAACGAUGAGUGCUAAGUGUUGGAGGGUUUCCGCCCUUCAGUGCUGCAGCUAACGCAUAAGCACUCC
rnacentral:rRNA from 1 species